rnacentral:rRNA from 1 species
GAUGAACGCUGGCGGCGUGCUUAACACAUGCAAGUCGAACGGAAAGGCCACAGCUUGCUGUGGUACUCGAGUGGCGAACGGGUGAGUAACACGUGGGUGAUCUGCCCUGUACUUCGGGAUAAGCUUGGGAAACUGGGUCUAAUACCGGAUAGGAAUCACAUGUGGGUGUGUGGUUGGAAAGCUUUUGCGGUAUGGGAUGAGCUCGCGGCCUAUCAGCUUGUUGGUGGGGUAAUGGCCUACCAAGGCGUCGACGGGUAGCCGGCCUGAGAGGGUGUACGGCCACAUUGGGACUGAGAUACGGCCCAGACUCCUACGGGAGGCAGCGGUGGGGAAUAUUGCACAAUGGGCGCAAGCCUGAUGCAGCGACGCCGCGUGGGGGAUGACGGCCUUCGGGUUGUAAACUCCUUUCGUCAGGGACGAAGCGAAAGUGACGGUACCUGGAUAAGAAGCACCGGCUAACUACGUG